CCUACGGGAGGCUGCAGUAGGGAAUAUUGCUCAAUGGGGGAAACCCUGAAGCAGCAACGCCGCGUGGAGGAUGAAGGUUUUAGGAUUGUAAAACCCUUUUGUUAGAGAAGAUAAUGACGGUAUGUAACCCAUAAGCACCGGCUAACUCCGAGCCAGCAGCCGCGGUAAUACGGAGGGUGCAAGCGUUACUCGGAAUCACUGGGCGUAAAGGGUGCGUAGGCGGGUUAAUAAGUCAGAUGUGAAAUCCUGCAGCUUAACUACAGAACUGCAUUUGAAACUGUUAGUCUUGAGUGUGGGAGAGGUAGGUGGAAUUCGUGGUGUAGCGGUGAAAUCCGUAGAGAUCAAGAGGAACACUCAUUGCGAAGGCGACCUGCUGGAACAUUACUGACGCUGAUGCACGAAAGCGUGGGGAGCAAACAGGAUUAGAUACCCCGGUAGUC
rnacentral:rRNA from 1 species